AAAUACGUAGAUAUACUGACGCAGUAAGGAGAUACACAUAGCUAGCAAGUAUUGUAGAUUUCCAGUGAAAAAGUUAAAUUUAAGCGUUGAAACAAAAGGAAUGUCCUGAAAAUAUUUAUUUAAUCGUAUUGGUUGAAAACCUGAUAAACUUCAGCUUGUUAUCAUCAAUUAUAUUAUACAAAUUGCCAAACUACCGAAUAUAUAUGCGUAAGAAAUACGCUUUUUAGCGUUUUAAUUUGGCCUGUAUAUAUGAAAACAGUAAAAAAAGUUGUGUAAAAGCUAAGUUCGACCAUUUCAUUACAAUCUAAUUCCUAUGUACAUUAAGUUAUACAUUUUGAUCUCUAGCUGUAUAACGCACGUGUAAUAACUGAGAAUUUGGAAAUGCAUUGUUCAAUACGAUAGCAUAUGCGGAAGGAUGUUCAUGAUGAAUAAAGGAGGACUCCAUUCGUAAACCAUUUUGGUUCAAUAAGGCGACAUCCCAUGCUGUAUCAGAACCAAAAAGCGUUUGAUUUGUAACGAGUGAACUUAGAAGUGGAACAUCACAAGAGCUAUCAUUGUAAAGCAAUUGCCAUUCUACUGAGGCAUUCCUUGGUAAGGCAUCAACCAACGCAACCAAAACAGGACUUGACUCCCCAGUAUUUUUUGUAUAUUCUGACCAAAUUUUAACAACACAAUCCGCAUCACGAGAAUCACAAACAUAUGCCAAGCAUGCUAUGAGUGAACCUACUCGCAUUGCUUUUGCAACACGAUUUGCGUGUUGAAGAGCCAGUACCAUCUCAAAUAUUUUGUCAUGAAGUUUUAACUCCAUAACUGAUGGUAUUAAACCAAUUUGUCCAGAAAUGAAAACAACACCAUUUGCACAGAUCGACUGCGAAUAUGGACCAAUGUUGGCUGGCGCCCAAUAACUUUGCCCUUGAACAUGAAGCGCUCUUUUCUCGGUUACAUCUCCAACAAUACAGGACAUGACUAUCCUAUACUCACUAGCUAGAGGAGCUGCGACGCAAGACCGGGAAGGUGGGUUCGUGAAAUCAAAAUAUUUAUUGUAAACAGAGUUAAAUUCUGCAAACUUAGACAUGGAAGAUAAAAUGACGGUUACAAAGUAAACAUUUUUGUUAGAAUAUCCAUAUGUACCAAGCAGUUCUAGGAAGUUAGUAUUCUAGCGGUUUAAAGGAAAUGUUCGGUGGCAUAGCCGAA